GACGAACGCUGGCGGCGCGCCUAACACAUGCAAGUCGAACGGAGCGUACUGUGUGAAGCCCUUCGGGGCGGAACUUUGUAUUGCUUAGUGGCGAACGGGUGAGUAACACGUGAGCAAUCUGCCCAUAAGAGGGGGAUAACGUCUGGAAACGGACGCUAAUACCGCAUGACAUACGAGGCUGGCAUCAGUUUCGUAUCAAAGGAGAAAUCCGCUUAUGGAUGAGCUCGCGCCCGAUUAGAUAGUUGGCGGGGUAACGGCCCACCAAGUCGACGAUCGGUAGCCGGACUGAGAGGUUGAACGGCCACAUUGGGACUGGGACACGGCCCAGACUCCUACGGGAGGCAGCAGUGGGGAAUAUUGGGCAAUGGGGGAAACCCUGACCCAGCAACGCCGCGUGAGUGAAGACGGCCUUCGGGUUGUAAAGCUCUGUCAACGGGGACGAUAAUGACGGUACCCGUGGAGGAAGCCACGGCUAACUACGUGCCAGCCGCCGCCGUAAAAC
rnacentral:rRNA from 1 species